AUUGAACGCUGGCGGCAGGCCUAACACAUGCAAGUCGAGCGAGCGGCGGACGGGUGAGUAAUGUCUGGGAAACUGCCUGAUGGAGGGGGAUAAAUACUGGAAAAGGUAGCUAAAAACACAUACCAUCAGCUGUGCCCAGAUGGGAGUAGCUAGUAGGUGGGGUAACGGCUAACCUAGGCGACGAGCCCUAGCUGGUCUGAGAGGAUGACCAGCCACACUGGAACUGAGACACGGUCCAGACUCCUACGGGAGGCAGCAGUGGGGAAUAUUGCACAAUGGGCGCAAGCCUGAUGCAGCCAUGCCGCGUGUGUGAAGAAGGCCUUCGGGUUGUAAAGCACUUUCAGCGGGGAGGCGUUACCCGCAGAAGAAGCACCGGCUAACUCCGUGCCAGCAGCCGCGGUAAUUC
rnacentral:rRNA from 1 species